AGUGAACGCUGGCGGUAGGCCUAACACAUGCAAGUCGAACGGCAGCACAGUAAGAGCUUGCUCUUACGGGUGGCGAGUGGCGGACGGGUGAGGAAUACAUCGGAAUCUACUUUUUCGUGGGGGAUAACGUAGGGAAACUUACGCUAAUAUCGCAUACGACCUACGGGUGAAAGCAGGGGAUCUUCGGACCUUGCGCGAUUGAAUGAGCCGAUGUCGGAUUAGCUAGUUGGCGGGGUAAAGGCCCACCAAGGCGACGAUCCGUAGCUGGUCUGAGAGGAUGAUCAGCCACACUGGCACUGAGACACGGUCCAGACUCCUACGGGCGGCCGCAGUGGGGAAUAUUGGACAAUGGGCGCAAGCCUGAUCCAGCCAUACCGCGUGGGUGAAGAAGGCCUUCGGGUUGUAAAGCCCUUUUGUUGGGAAAGAAAAGCAGCAGGUUAAUACCCCGCUGUUCUGACGGUACCCAAAGAAUAAGCACCGGCUAACUUCGUG
rnacentral:rRNA from 1 species